CGCGGCCUAUCAGCUUGUUGGUGGGGUAAUGGCUCACCAAGGCUUUGACGGGUAGCCGGCCUGAGAGGGCGACCGGCCACACUGGGACUGAGAUACGGCCCAGACUCCUACGGGAGGCAGCAGUGGGGAAUAUUGCACAAUGGACGGAAGUCUGAUGCAGCAACGCCGCGUGCGGGAUGACGGCCUUCGGGUUGUAAACCGCUUUCACCAGGGGCGAAUUUGACGGUACCUGGAGAAGAAGCACCGGCUAACUACGUGCCAGCAGCCGCGGUGAUACGUAGGGUGCGAGCGUUGUCCGGAUUUAUUGGGCGUAAAGAGCUCGUAGGUGGUUUGUUGCGUCGGGAGUGAAAACACACAGCUCAACUGUGUGCUUGCUUUCGAUACGGGCAGACUUGAGGGAUGUAGGGGAGAACGGAAUUCCUGGUGGAGCGGUGGAAUGCGCAGAUAUCAGGAGGAACACCGGUGGCGAAGGCGGUUCUCUGGACAUUUCCUGACGCUGAGGAGCGAAAGCGUGGGGAGCAAACAGGCUUAGAUACCCUGGUAGUCCACGCCGUAAACGGUGGGCACUAGGUGUGGGGGACAUUCCACGUUCUCCGUGCCGUAGCUAACGCAUUAAGUGCCCCGCCUGGGGAGUACGG
rnacentral:rRNA from 1 species